CUCUGCUACUACUCUCUUCCCAUUGCGAGUUACUCUUCUCUCUCUACUCUCUUCCUCUCCUCUACGCGAGUUACUAAUCUUCUUCGCGAGGCGGGACCUCUCUCUCUCAGUAAGUGUUUUUGUCCGUUGGAUCAGACGAUAUGUCUGAUCCACACCGUUCAUCUGGAACGUGAUGAUAUGACUGUCGCCCCAGUCUUACUUGCAUCUCUUGAUGCGAGGUGGUGAUCGACACCAUUGAUGCAAUCUAGACCAUUCAUUUGGUGGGGCACACAAAAUUAGAACUUUGAUUUUGUUUUCAUUUGAACGUGUACCACUGAUCUUGAUCUGUAUGAUUUAAGAGAUGAGACCUACAAUUUAUAUGGUCUUUAUAAUUGUACAUCAGUGCUACACAUGAGAUGGAUGGUUGACCACCAUUAUCAACAUGGUGUAAAACUCACACAGGAGUCUUCCAUAGUGUGGUAUGUCUUGUAGUGGUAGGGGUAUGAGAAUUUCGCCUACAACCAGUUGUAGUUGUA